ACUAAGUAACGUGUUACUGGCAUGAAUUAGCGUGUUUCCAUCCAACUUCCAAAUGCGCAUUUAAUCUAUGCGAAUAAGAAAUCCCGGUUGGAAACACGUGAAAUGCGCAUUAAAAAUCCUAAUGCGCAUCUAUAUUUGAUUCGCUAGAGGGGGGUGGAUUAACUCUCGAUGCGCAUAAGGUAUAAUGCGAAUAAAGUCGAUGGAAACGGUUUAUUCGCAUCGUGUGACGUAACCUUCAGAGACUCUCAGCAAUC